GAUGAAGAACGUAGCGAAAUGCGAUACGUAAUGUGAAUUGCAGAAUUCAGUGAAUCAUCGAAUCUUUGAACGCAUAUUGCGCUCUUUGGUAUUCCGAAGAGCAUGCUUGUUUGUGUAUCAGUAAACACCUCAACCUCUUCUUGAUUUUUCAAAAGGAGGGUGGACUUGAGCUAUCCCAACAACCUUUACCGGUCGGCGGGCGGCUUGAAAUGCAGGUGCAGCUGGACUUUUAUCUGAGCUAAAAGCAUAUCUAUUUAGUCCUCGUCAAACAGGAUUAUUACUUUUGCUGCAGCUAACAUAAAGGAUAAUUGUCCUCUUUGCUGACUGAUGCAGGAUUUUACGACACUUUAUGUGUUGUUCAACUCGAUCUCAAAUCAAGUAAGACUACCCGCUGAACUUAAGCAUAUCAAUAAGCGGAGGA
rnacentral:misc_RNA from 1 species